rnacentral:tRNA from 1 species
AGGAGCGUAGCUCAGUUGGGUAGAGCAGGAAUUCCGUUUCCGCCCCUUGCCUGGUUGCAGUGCCGGGCCGAAGGUGACGGUUAUCGAUUUCUCAUCGCCGGGUCGUGGGUUCGAGUCCCACCGCUCCUA